AAUAGAUACCCUGGUAGUCCACGCCGUAAACGGUGGGCACUAGAUGUGGGGGUUGUCAUGACCUCCGUGCCGCCGCUAACGCAUUAAGUAUUCCGCCUGGGGAGUACGGUCGCAAGAUUAAAACUCAAAGGAAUUGACGGGGGCCCGCACAAGCAGCGGAGCAUGUGGUUUAAUUCGAAGCAACGCGAAGAACCUUACCUAGACUUGACAUCUCCUGAAUUACUCUGUAAUGGAGGAAGCCCUUCGGGGCAGGAAGACAGGUGGUGCAUGGUUGUCGUCAGCUCGUGUCGUGAGAUGUUGGGUUAAGUCCCGCAACGAGCGCAACCCUUAUUGUUAGUUGCUACCAUUUAGUUGAGCACUCUAGCGAGACUGCCCGGGUUAACCGGGAGGAAGGUGGGGAUGACGUCAAAUCAUCAUGCCCCUUAUGUCUAGGGCUACACACGUGCUACAAUGGCUGGUACAGAGAGAUGCAAUACCGCGAGGUGGAGCCAAACUUCAAAACCAGUCUCAGUUCGGAUUGUAGGCUGAAACUCGCUA
rnacentral:rRNA from 1 species